UACGUAGGGGGCUAGCGUUGUCCGGAAUCAUUGGGCGUAAAGAGCGUGUAGGCGGUCCGGUAAGUCCGCUGUGAAAGUCGGGGGCUCAACCCUCGAAUGCCGGUGGAUACUGUCGGGCUAGAGUGCGGAAGAGGCGAGUGGAAUUCCUGGUGUAGCGGUGAAAUGACGCAGAUAUCAGGAGGAACACCGGUGGCGAAGGCGGGUCUCUGGGCAAUAACUGACGCUGAGGAGCGAAAGCGUGGGGAGCGAACAGG
rnacentral:rRNA from 1 species